rnacentral:rRNA from 1 species
UACGUAGGGUGCAAGCGUUGUCCGGAAUUAUUGGGCGUAAAGAGCUCGUAGGCGGUUUGUUGCGUCGGCUGUGAAAACCCGGGGCUCAACCCCGGGCCUGCAGCCGAUACGGGCAGACUAGAGUUCGGCAGGGGAGACUGGAAUUCCUGGUGUAGCGGUGAAAUGCGCAGAUAUCAGGAGGAACACCGGUGGCGAAGGCGGGUCUCUGGGCCGAUACUGACGCUGAGGAGCGAAAGCGUGGGGAGCAAACAGG